rnacentral:lncRNA from 1 species
UUCAGAAUGAUUAUUCAGGUAUUUAAAAUGGCAUCUGGCAUGAUUUUCCUUAAAAUAUAGUUGACUAUGAUUUUUUUCCUUUCUCCUGCCUAAGGCUUCGCAGAACUCCUGUUUAGUUGUUUUAUUCUUGAGGACAUACAUCAGAUGGAAUUUCUCUUUUCCUAAAUGCCUUGAGUGGGAACAUUCUUUUUUGUCAGCAAAUACUCUGAGGGUAUUAAGGUAUUCAAAUAUUUUAAAUGUAUAUGUGAAAGAUCAUCAAUAUGUUAUUGGACGCCUCACUCAAGACUAAAGAUUAUACUACUCUGACAGGAAGUUUGCAAAUUUCUAUUUCACAUUGGGCUGUGAAAAUUUCAAAGGUAAGCCCACCAAGUGUCAGUAAUUACUCUCCUAGGAAGAAUCAGAGAAACAAAAUUGUGCUAUUACGAGCCAAUAAGCAAGAACUGUGUUUUAGGAAACAUUCAAAUGAAUAUGAUUUCCCACUGAGUUAUGGUUUUGCCAGAUUGCUUUGUGGCUUCCAGCGUGCCUCAGACAACUUGACUGAAACGGAUACCCCUGGGGGUUCAUGGCUUGGCCUCUGAUAUAACCUGCUGGGGCAAAACCCCAGCCUGAAUUGGAAUUGAACUUUUUAAAAAGUAACCAAAUAGAAAAUAUAAAAUUGUAAAACAAUGAUAUGAGGAGAUUCCAAAACCAAAAGGAAACUUACCUGGAACUAAUGUCAGUUACAAAGUCGGUUACAGCGGACAAAAUCAGUAGGAAGAACCACAGCAACUUUUAAAUGCCAUUUGGGGAAAGUGCCUAUGGGUUUAGGGCUAUAAUUGAAGCUACCCCACUACCACUUACCAAAUUACCAAAUUCGAUGAACAUUCCUGUUCUCUGAGUUGCCUUUUCUCCAUAAAUGUAUGCUGUUUGAAAUUAAA